UACGUAGGGGGCAAGCGUUAUCCGGAUUUACUGGGUGUAAAGGGAGUGUAGACGGCAUGGCAAGCCAGAUGUGAAAGCCCGGGGCUCAACCCCGGGACUGCAUUUGGAACUGUCAGGCUAGAGUGUCGGAGAGGAAAGUGGAAUUCCUAGUGUAGCGGUGAAAUGCGUAGAUAUUAGGAGGAACACCAGUGGCGAAGGCGGCUUUCUGGACGAUGACUGACGUUGAGGCUCGAAAGCGUGGGGAGCAAACAGG
rnacentral:rRNA from 1 species